UACAGAGGUCCCAAGCGUUGUUCGGGUUCACUGGGCGUAAAGGGUGCGUAGGUGGUGAGGUAAGUCGGAUGUGAAAGCUCCGAGCUCAACUCGGAAAUGGCAUUGGAAACUACCUUGCUCGAGGGUUUGAGGGGGGACUGGAAUACUUGGUGUAGCAGUGAAAUGCGUAGAUAUCAAGUAGAACACCAGUGGCGAAGGCGAGUCCCUGGAAAACUCCUGACACUGAGGCACGAAAGCUAGGGGAGCAAACAGG
rnacentral:rRNA from 1 species